rnacentral:rRNA from 1 species
GAGUCUGCACUGGUUCCUGUACGAUCACCGAAGUUAAGCAACAUGUAGCCUGGUCAGUACCUAGAUGGGUAGCCGCUUGUGAAUAACAGGUGCUGUAAG